GUGUUAGGGUGGUAGAACAGUCUCCCUCCACCCUGACGGUCUGUUGUGGUGGCUUGACCUUGCCAGGCCACCAGAUGCCCACCCAGCUGCCCUCUCAGCAUCAAUGACGUGCUCAGCUUUGCCAGCAGUGGGUCCGCUGGCACCAGCUGGAGGUGGCCAUGUCUGGCAUGUUCUUUCUCACAGAGGCCUCCCCCUACAAUACCCUCCCUGCGACAGCACCUGGCCACAGGCACCAGCUGUGUCUGUUCUCCAGAUAUGAGGAAGUAGCGGCGUAGACUGGCCAGAGAAUGGAUGUGGGGAUGCAAAGAGGGCAGCACAGCCUAGUACAGCCAGCCCAGGACCACAGAAGUCCUCUUUCUCAGGAACACGCGUAGGAAAUUAAAACCAUUUGAGUAAAUAAGGAUAAUGCGA